rnacentral:misc_RNA from 1 species
UGGUUCUGGCAUCGAUGAAGAACGCAGCGAAAUGCGAUAAGUAAUGUGAAUUGCAGAAUUCAGUGAAUCAUCGAAUCUUUGAACGCACAUUGCACCCUCUGGUAUUCUGGGGGGUAUGCCUGUUCGAGCGUCAUUACAACCCUCAAUUUUUCUAUGGUUGACCUCGGAUCAGGUAGGGAUACCCGCUGA